GCAAUGGAAGCAAAUCAGAUCAGAUGCUACGGUAACGGUGGGAGUAGCUGUACAAUCUCUGCUCAUAUGCCCGGUCCGGCCGCACUUAUAGCAACCGGGACUCCCUGCCUUGCACGCCCCAUCGUGCAAUCUCCCACACUUGCCACACGAACUGUGGCUCUACUGUCCUAUAGAUCUGUGAUCUGAUACCUUAAGCUUUUUGCCCGAACUCCCUGUGCCAGAUGUCGCCUCUGGCUUCCUCUUCUUCUCCAUCUCUAAAUCAAUCUCUCUCUCACGAGCCCUAGCAAUUAUGUCAUCCAACGUUUUACAGCUGGACCGGCUCAUAAUUUGACGGAUAUCACUCUGCAACAUCUCAUGAUACUACAAACUAAAUGACAUUUAGUGGCAUAGAAAAAGUGCCACUAAAAACCGAAAAUGCACCAUUAAAGGCCCCCUGGGGAAUCAGCGACACAAAAAAAAAGUGUCACUAAAGGUCUUUAGUGGCACUUUUUUGUUGUGUCGCUGCAGCCUUAUUGGAUUUUAGUGGUACUUUUUUUUAUUAUGCCAUUAAAGAACUUUUGAGUUUUGGUGGCACUAUUUUUAUGCCACUAUAUAAUUUCUAAAAUAAAUAAUAUUUCAUGCUUUUAGUAUCAUAUUUUUUUACCACAAAAAAAUUAUAUUCAAAGAUUUGGUCCAAUUUUUUUUAAACUUAAAUAGAAUAUAAUAUAAUAAAAAGACAAUUAAUAAAUGAAAAACUUGAUAUCACUAUUUUAACUAUUAUACAUACUUAAAACACAUGUCUGCAAAAAAAAGUUUAAAUGUUGUGGAAGUAUUCAAAACAUAAAACCAUCAAGCUAAAUAAAACUUGAUUGACCUUGAACUUUGUAUAAUGCUCCUCUUGUUUAUCCAAAUAACGAACCACCAACAAAACCUAUUUAACCACAAUAUAUUAUUAAUUAACUCUAUUUAUGAAAUAAUCUAAAGAAUAAGAAGAUUAACAGAAAAAAAAAAUCAACAUAUUAGAUGCAACAACAAAUUCAUUUAUGAAGACAUAAAUCAACAGAGCAACUUAUUGCCAUGGAUAAUUUGAAAGUCACUGGUGGAAGACUUGGAAGUCAUUAGUGGAAGACUUAGUGGGUUUUAACGGUGUAUUUUCUAGACCUCCAGAUCAAGCAAGCAAAAAAAGGACACGUAUGAAGUUGGUGGGUCUAAUAGGUAAUUACUAACAAAAGAUAAAGAAAAACAUACAUAGAUUAUAAAUCGCUUGACAUAUUUAUAAACCAUAUAUGAUUUAUAAACACAAUGAAUCUACUAUUCCAAAUCAUUUUCCAAAAAAAAAAACAUUCCAAAUCCUACCCACCAAACACAUGACGAAUUCCAAAUAUAUUUACAAAAUAAAAUAACUACUUUGCUUUAAAGUUUAACUCCAAAUGAGACCCAAAUACAAGAACAAACAAAACUAAAUUUUAAUCAAUUUUCAAAGAAAACAUAAGAACAAGAACCCUUUUUCCUGGUCCUAUACUCUUGUUACCUAUUACAACUUGAGACCCAACACUAAACAGUCAUAACAUAUGCAAGAAAACUCAUGAAGAACAAUGUAAUCUCGCUGAAGAUUUUUAUCGAACACCUUGUGUGCAACUUUUCGAACUCCACCUUGGUACAAAAAUUAUUGGUAAAAGGACCCUAAAUUUAAAUUAUAAACCUUAAAGAACGACAACUCAACCAAAAUAGAAAAUAGUUUUAACACCUUGUUACUUAAAUUCAAAAUUGCAAAAUUUUCAAGAAAACCUCCAAAAAGAAACGUACCCAAAUGCUGUGAAAUUUGAAUUCUGAAGUUUUGUCUUGUUCUUGAUUGGUCACCUUUGUAUUUCACCCUUGAUCGAUCCCUACUGAAAUCAGCAACCAAUAACUCUGAAAAACAGCACCGUCCAUUGAAGUUUCUAAUUUAACAUCUCACUUUUAUCUUACAUUAAAAAGCUACACAAAUUACCUUAAUAACUAUCUGGAAGUGAAACUUCAAAGAAUAUUUAAUCUUUUAGAGAAACUUCAGUACUUGACAUCAAAAUCCAAAUUGUCUACUAUGAAUUACCUUGACAUAAAAUCUUAAAAUCAUAUAAGUGUGUAUAGAGUUAAGAAAUCAUACAAGCUCUAAAUUCAUUGCAAACUUAAUUUUAGUUCAAAAUAUACCUAGACACUACAUAGUUGGAAAAUGUAGUUUAAUCCCACUGUAAAAUGAUUUUUUUUUCGUUUGAGCAUUUUAACAAACACCUUGUCUUCAUCUUUUUUUCAAUGAUCUCAACAACAUAAUACUUAACACUAUGAUAACCUAUAACCAUAAUUCUUCAACAUUACCAUAGCUAUAUAAUAACAGAACAUAAAAACUUGCGACAGAAAAGAAGAAACCAGAACAAGAAGAAGAAUGAGAAAUUGGUGCCUGAUGUUGACGAAAUCGCAGGAAUCAAUAGAAAGACCCAAUUUCGUCAAACCCCCUCUAACAAUUGCAUCUACUCGACCUAAUCAAGGAAUCAAUAAAAAGACCCAAUUUAAUCAUACCUUUGAAUAUACAGUUAGAGGAAAAUUGAGAGGAGAUAUGAAGCUACAUCCACAUUAGACAGCAAAACACCUGUCUUCAUAAAAUAUGGUCACCGCCUCACCGGUGUAUCCUAGCUCCAGUUGUGGCUUCGUCGAAGGUGGUCACCGGCUUUGGAGGCGACAACCACAAUGUGGGCCCGAUAGUGAGUAGGCAACGACGAGGACUACCGAUGAGUCGAUGAGUGGAUGACGACAACCAGGGGUGAGCGACAUGGGAGAACGGAAGAGGGAAUAAAGUGAGAUAGAUUAUCUAUUGGUUUUACCCAAUGAAACUUUUCCCUAAUAAUUUGGCUACAUUUGAAAAAACUCGCUGAGAUUGAAUUUUUGGGAGGCGCGUUUUUUUUCUCUUUAAAAUUUUGGACGUAAGGCGGGGAAAAUAAGUGGGAACCGAAAACUUUGUAGUGUCAUAAAAAAAUAUGUGCCACUAAAGCUAAUACUACAGUGGCACAAAAA
rnacentral:lncRNA from 1 species